UCUACCUUGCAAGAAGGAAAAGCCCUGGGGUGGGGGUGGGGGUGGGGACUUGAUUUUGGAAAAGGGAGAGACUGGAGAAGAAACAACGCGGCUGCUCUUCAUUUCCCAAAAGAACGAAACAAAGCUAAGAAAAGAAAGUCAAAGUCUCUGCGGGAAGUGCGGAAAAGGAGGGCCAAUGACCCAAGGAAACAAGAGCUACCGGCAUCAAGCAGGAAGAGCGCUCAGACUAGCAAACUGGAAGGGAAUCCCGAGGGCGGAGCCCAGAGGGGAAUAAGGGGUGUGUGGGGGGAAGGAUGUGCUGAGGGGAGUGGGGGAUCGUGGUGGGCAGAAAACAAGGCAAAAAGACGGGCAGGGCUGAAGAAGGCAGCGCCCUGGGCGAAUGUCACUCGGAGCCGGGGGGGUCCGACGGGAGGAACCAGAUCAGCAGCCUGGGGGGAGGGUAAUCUGCUUUCCUUAGCAGCUUUACGCUGCGGCGGCCAAGACACCACCCCUUCUUUGCCCUGCGUUGGUACCCCAAAUCUCCCCACGGGAGGGGGUAAGGCAGAGCCCCGGAGUCCGGCGCCCGGAGUGGUUUACCUUCGCGAGAGGCUGGAGAGACUCCAACCCGAGCUCCUCCCGCCGCCGGCUCUGUGUCCAGAGUGGGAUGAGGCGCCCUCCCGCCUCCUCCUCGCACCACUUCCCCUUUCCCGCGCCGGGCCCUGUAGCUCCGCUGCCCCGGGUUCCUGGUGCCGCGGCGGCGCUGCCUCCCCGCCCCCUCCGCCUCCUCCGCCUCCUCCGCCUCCUCCCUCUGCCUCUCAGAGGCUCGCUCUGGAGGCCGCCAUCUUCGCUCAGGCUGUGAGCGACGGCGUUCCAAUACGCCUGCGUCGCCCCCGCCCCGGCCGUCACGAGACCCAGUCAGCUGAUUUCGCCUCUUCCGCCUUCUGCCCCGCCGUCCUGUCCCUUUCUCCCCCUUUCCCAGAAAUUCUGCGUUCCGCGGGCCCGCCCCGCCAGCAGUUACACAUGCGCAGAAUGGCGAGGCCGGCUGUGGGAUCCCUAGAACACGCAGCCCCUGAGGGGUCCCGCCCCUCGGCGCGUGCUGAAAGGGGCACGCCCAUAGGCGUGUGCGCGCGCGCGCAGGGAGGGCCACGCCCCUCCGGCGUGUUCUCCGUGGGCCACGCCCCUCGGACCCUGGCUCCCGGUCCUGCUGGAGGUUGUUGCGCGGCCGGGGUUUUGCGUUCUUUAUCUCCUGAAGUCAUGUUGUGA
rnacentral:lncRNA from 1 species